UAAAAAUUUUAUUAUAAAUUUAUUUUACAUAUAAAUUUUAGUGUUAAAUUUUAAUUAUUUAAAAAAUAAUUAUUUGGAUUGUAGUAAUUAAUAUUAAAAAUUUAAGAAAUUAAGAUUUAGUAAUAUAAAAAUUAAUAACUAAUUUUGUGCCAGCAGUUGCGGUUAUACAAAAAUUAAAUUAAAUUAUUUCAGUUUAUAAUAAAUAAUUUAAUUUAAAGUAAAUAUUAAAUUAUUAAGUGAAAUUUUAAUUUAAUUAAAUUUUAUUUAAAAAUUAUGAUUUAAUAAAUUUUAUUUUAAACUAGGAUUAGAUACCCUAUUAUUGAAAAAUUAUUUUAUAAUACUAAAAUAGUAAAUAAUUAUUUAUUGAAACUUGAAUAAUAUGGCGGUAUUUUAGUUCAUUUAGAGGAAUCUGUCUAAUAAUUGAUAAUCCACGAAUAAAUUUACUUAAUUUAAUAUUUUGUAUAUCGUUGUUAAAAAAAUAUUUUUUAAUGAUAAUAAUAUUUAAGUUUUAAAAAAAAAAAUUAAUUCAGAUCAAGAUGCAGAUAAUAAUUAAGAAUAUGAUGGAUUACAAUAAAUAUAUUUAAAUGAAUAAUAUUAUUUUAAUAUAUAUUUGAAGGUGGAUUUAAAUGUAAUUUUAAUUAAUUUAUUAAAAUGAUUAAAAAUUAAAAUAUGUACAUAUUGCCCGUCACUUUCAUUUAAAAAUUGAAAUAAGUCGUAACAAAGUAGAUGUACUGGAAAGUGUAUCUAGAAAUAA
rnacentral:ncRNA from 1 species